UACGGAGGGGGCUAGCGUUGUUCGGAAUUACUGGGCGUAAAGCGCGCGUAGGCGGUCUCGUAAGUCAGGGGUGAAAGGCCUGGGCUUAACCCGGGAGUGGCCCUUGAGACUGCGAGGCUUGAGAGCGGGAGAGGAUGGUGGAAUUCCCAGUGUAGAGGUGAAAUUCGUAGAUAUUGGGAAGAACACCGGUUGCGAAGGCGGCCAUCUGGCCCGCCACUGACGCUGGAGCGCGAAAGCGUGGGGAGCAAACAGG
rnacentral:rRNA from 1 species